AUUGAACGCUGGCGGCAUGCCUUACACAUGCAAGUCGAACGGCAGCACGGGAGCAAUCCUGGUGGCGAGUGGCGAACGGGUGAGUAAUAUAUCGGAACGUGCCCAGUCGUGGGGGAUAACGUAGCGAAAGCUACGCUAAUACCGCAUACGAUCUACGGAUGAAAGCGGGGGAUCGCAAGACCUCGCGCGAUUGGAGCGGCCGAUAUCAGAUUAGGUAGUUGGUGAGGUAAAGGCUCACCAAGCCGACGAUCUGUAGCUGGUCUGAGAGGACGACCAGCCACACUGGGACUGAGACACGGCCCAGACUCCUACGGGAGGCAGCAGUGGGGAAUUUUGGACAAUGGGCGCAAGCCUGAUCCAGCAAUGCCGCGUGCAGGAUGAAGGCCUCGGUGUAACUAGCUUUGUAC
rnacentral:rRNA from 1 species